CCCUUAGAUGUUCUGGGCCGCACGCGCGCUACACUGACGGAGCCAACGAGUAUUUUCCUUGUCCGGAAGGACUGGGUAAUCUUGUGAAACUUUGUCGUGCUGGGGAUAGAGCAUUGUAAUUAUUGCUCUUCAACGAGGAAUUCCUAGUAAGCGUGAGUCAUCAGCUCGCGUUGAUUACGUCCCUGCCCUUUGUACACACCGCCCGUCGCUACUACCGAUUGGAUGGUUUAGUGAGAUCCUCGGAUUGGUCCCGGCGCGGCCUCUGGUCGUGCCGGAGUGCCGAAAAGAAUGUCGAACUUGAUCAUCUAGAGGAAGUAAAAGUCGUAACA
rnacentral:rRNA from 1 species